rnacentral:rRNA from 1 species
CAGUCGCCGCGGUAAUACGGAGGGGGCUAGCGUUGUUCGGAAUUACUGGGCGUAAAGCGCACGUAGGCGGCUUUACAAGUCAGAGGUGAAAGCCUGGUGCUCAACACCAGAAUUGCCUUUGAGACUGUAUCGCUUGAACGUCGGAGAGGUGAGUGGAAUUCCGAGUGUAGAGGUGAAAUUCGUAGAUAUUCGGAAGAACACCAGUGGCGAAGGCGGCUCACUGGACGACUGUUGACGCUGAGGUGCGAAAGCGUGGGGAGCAAACAGGAUUAGAUACCCCCGUAGUCCCUGUCUCUUAUAC